AGCUCCAAUAGCGUAUAUUAAAUUUGUUGCGGUUAAAACGCUCGUAGUUGAAUCUCUGCUAAGGCCAACCGGUCUGCCCACUGGGUGAGCACCUGGUUUGGUUUAUGCAUAUUCUUGGGGAUGUAUCUGCACUUGACUGCGUGGUUCAACACUGAGAUCAUUUACUUUGAAGAAAUUAGAGUGUUUCAAGCAAUCAAAUGUUUUGAAUACAGUAGCAUGGGAUAAUAAAACAAGGCUUCUGGCUUAUCUCUGUUGGCUUCUAGAGCUGAGGUGAUGGUUACUAGGGACGGCUGGGGGUGCUUGUAUUUAACUGUCAGAGGUGAAAUUCUUGGAUUCGUUGAGGACAGACUAAUGCGGAAGCAUUUGCCAAGAAUGUUAUGGUUG
rnacentral:rRNA from 1 species